rnacentral:rRNA from 1 species
UACGGGGGGGGCAAGCGUUGUUCGGAAUUACUGGGCGUAAAGGGUUCGUAGGUGGCCCGCUAAGUCACACGUGAAAUCCCUCAGCUUAACUGGGGAACUGCGUGUGAGACUGGCAGGCUUGAGUGCAGGAGAGGAACGCGGAAUUCCAGGUGUAGCGGUGAAAUGCGUAGAUAUCCGGAGGAACACCGGUGGCGAAGGCGGCGUUCUGGACUGUAUCUGACACUGAGGAACGAAAGCCAGGGGAGCAAACGGG